rnacentral:lncRNA from 1 species
GCCAGCCCGACUGGAACAAGUAAUGCAGAGCAAGCAGCUGGAGCGCUGUGCACCCAUUCCUGAGCCCCUGACUGGAUUUGGCACAGUAAGGAGUCUUAUCAAGAGGACGAGGGGGAAAAGUGCAUAUAAAAGACCAUUAACCAUAUUCAAUGCCUUGGGGAACGAGAGGGACCCGGGGCGGGCGAUGAAUGGACGGGUAUGUGCCAGAUACUGUUAUAUAAUCUAGAUGAAAUCUAGAUGAGGAAACGGACGAACUCCAUGUGGGGGCCACUACUGGAAGACUUGGAAACGGACUCAAGGAGCACCAGAGAGACGUGAUAACUGCUACGCUCACAACUGCCCUGGCAAGGGGAGCAUAUGAAAGCAACAUGGAAGUAGGGUGGGAUCGGUCGGGGGUUGUGAGGCGGAUGGCGGA